GACGAACGCUGACGGCAUGCUUAACACAUGCAAGUCGAAGGGAGUGGCGAAAGGGUUAGUAACACGUGAGUCACCUGCCCUUUUAUUUGGUAUAAGCCUGGGAAACUGGGUCUCAUACUGGAUGGAUUGGGAUGGGCUCGCGGGUUAUCGGCUUGUUGGUGGGGUGAGGGCUUACCAAGGCUUUGACGGGUAGCCGGGCUGAGAGGGUGGUCGGUAACACUGGGACUGAGAUACGGCCCAGACUCCGACGGGAGGCAGCAGUGGGGGAUAUUGCACAAUGGACGAAAGUCUGAUGCAGCGACGUCGUGUGGGGGAGGAAGGCCUUCGGGUUGUAAACUCCUUUCGCCCGCGGAAUGGUAGUGGGUAAAGAAGCGCCGGCUAACUACUUGCCAGCAGCCGCGGUAAUAC
rnacentral:rRNA from 1 species